rnacentral:lncRNA from 1 species
AAAAAAAAGAGGGACUAAGAUGUAGCUCAGUUAGUAGAAUGCUUAAUAGCAUGCAUGAAACCCUGGGUUUAAUCCCAAACAUUAUAUAAAUUAGUCAUGGUGGUACACCCUGUAAUCCAGGCACUUGGGAAACAGAGGAAGGGGAACAGAAGUUUACAGUAACCCUCAAUCUAUAAAGUAAUAUUUGAGAUCAUACUGGGUAAAAUUAGAUCCUGUCUCAAAAAAGUAAACAAGUAAAGAGUUGAAAGAAGAGCAAUUUCAUGGCUACAUCAUUGUGAAGAUUACACAAGAUGAUACAGGUAAGACACUUAAAAAGUGUUUGGGCCUGCCAAGCAUGGUAGAACUGGAACCAGUCAUUAUUGUUAUUAGUUUAAAUAUUUUAAACAGCACCCUUUCCAUAAGGAGAAAGAGAGAGGAGGGAUGCAGAGCCAAACUGCCUUAAGUACAAAUUCUGGCUCUCUUACAUCAGUCUCUUUAUCUCUCAAACAGGGAAAUUAUAGCUCCUAUAGUCUAUGGUUACCUUAAGGAUUAGAUGAGAAAUUCCCAUAUAAAUUAAAUACAGAGCUGGGCAUGGUGGUGCAUGCCUUGAAUCCUAGCACUUGUGGGGCAGAAGUAGGGAGAUCUCUGCUAGCUCUAGGCCAGUCUGGUCUAUAUAGCAAGUUCCAGAACAGCUGAGGCUACAGAGACCUUGUCUCCAAAUAAAUAAAUGAAUGAAUCAAUAGUAAAUGCAAUGGCACACAAGAAAUACUCAGCACAUUUACCAUGUGCACUAAGUAAAGAGCUAUUCCCAAUGCUUUAAAUAUUAUCUCCCUGCUCAAAAUUGUAUGUUCAGCCUAACCUCUCCUGUUUCACAUCUGUCGGUUAGAUAUAUUCUCCCUAAUGGCCCCUGGGCUUCUUAGAAGUCUCCCACUAGUCUCAGCCGAAGGAAAACCUUGCUUGCUCUCUCUAACAUGUAACCAUUCCCUCAUAUCUAUCACUGCCUCAACCCAGCUUCUCCAUUUAAUUAGACGAUGCUACUACCCAGCCAUUUGUUCCACCGAGAAGCCUGGGACUCUCUCUGAGCUCUCUCACUCUCUCAUACCCCUCUUCAAUUGUUACUUACGGCUCUAAGAAGCUUCAACAGCUUUUCCUCCAAAAUACCUCCCUAAAUUAACUACUGAGGUUUGAACCACAACACCCCCUCCUAUCCAGAUAGUCAUAAUGCCCCACAACUCAAUCUCCAGCCUAGAACCACCCCCCCACCCCUCACCCCACCCCCACCAAGCUGUAAGGCUGACUAGAAGAAAAACAUUCUCAGCCAACCUAGACACACCAAUAUUAUCUAGUUCCUGCAAAAGAUCUGGGCCCUUCCCAUCUCCUCCCGAUGUCUGUGUUGAAAGGCUCUGGCCUGCUCUCCCACCCUCCUCCUUAAAGCUAAUUUCUUACUGGGCAAUGGUAGCAUACUUUAAUCCCAGCAGUUGGGAGGCAGAGGCAGGCGGAUCUCUAUGGAGUUUAAGGCCAGAGUUCCAGGACAUCUAUGGCUACACAGAAAAAGUCUGGGGGAAUGGAAUGAGAUGGUAAGAAGCCAGCAAGCAGCAUUGUCAGGUAGGACACAGAUGAAGGUGUCAGUGAAAAUCUGUCUGGAAUAAGGCCUAGGGACAUGGUUGAGGAUGGUGACAAAUUGCGGGGAGGGGCUACAGCAGAAAGCUGUAGAAUUGGGGAAAGUGACUGGACUGAGAGCUGAUAGCGAACAGCAAGAGCUCCUUAAUAGAUUGGAAACAGCCUUCACUAAGUGAGUAGUCAGCUGUGAGGAUACAAAGUAGCAGGUGAAGAAGUUCCAGAAAGAAGAGGCGCAUGGGAGAAGCAAAAGAUGAUGGGGGGGGGGAGUGGGAGAAAGACAGUGGGUGAUGAUGACAACUGGGGAACGACCCGGAAGAGGAAUGGGAUGGAAAUAAAGGACAAUAACAAAGCGAGCGCUUGGCAGUGGGCACUGGUAGGAGGAGAUGAGCGAGCGGGGAGGGAACGCUUGAUAGGUGGAAAGGUCACCACCAGCGGGGCCCCUGAUGAGGAAGGUGGCAAGAAAAAAAAAAAAAAGGAAAAAAAAAGAACCCAAAGAUGAGACAGGGAACACUGACAACUCCCCAGGCCCUGUACCCAAGGUCCGCCCCACCUCUACAGCCACCGACAGAGGUGAGGGACCUUGAUAGAAGCAGAGGUGGACAACUGGGAGGGAGAGGACCAGGCGGCCACUAAGAGGCUGAGACUAAUUCUGAGAGUGGGGAAAACUGACCACUGACAGGCCAGGAGCUGGGAUAGUAGCUAAAAGGGAUGUCGACUGUCAAGAAGGGUGAGCGCUGAGGGAAGGGAAGGGAUGGAUGGAUGGAUGGAUGGAUGGAUGGAUGGAUGGAUGGAUGGAUGGAUGGAUGAAUGAAUGACGGCAGUGGAGAGUGCUGGCUGACCGGGAAGCAGACUGAUGGAGGCGCUGACCCCCCUGACGAAGCGCAGGGUGACAAAGGCGCUGCUCUACCGACAGGGCGCUGACGGCACAAGCUGAGUGACAGCAGGACGCUGACGGCCCGAAGGCGGUGGGGGGUGGGGGUGUCCCUCCUGUCCCCGGGCCGCAGGAAGCGGCGGGCGCGCGGCCGCACUCACCUGCCCAGCAGGCUGGGGGUCGCAGCGACUCCUCCUCCGAGGGAGGCCGGAGCGAGGCCAGGACGCUCGCAGAGGUGAAGUGCGGACGGCCUGGAGCGGGCCGCACGCACAUGGGCCCGACCCCGCGGCGCGGCGCCUUCGGACUCGGGCGCAGCCGGCGGGAGGCUCGGGACCCGCUCGGGACCGGCUCGGGGCCGCGGGCGAGAUCGCUCCAAAAUGGC